CAUUCCUUUGGUGUGGGAUCUGGGUUAGAGGGUGUUUUCACACUUGUAUUUUGUUUGCUUUGGUUUUAAUCAGUUGGUGAGUUAGUAAACUUGGAGCAAUUUGCCCAUGGUUGGUUUGGUUUGGUU